UCCUCCUCCUGUUCCACCUUCAUCCUGAUCCAUCUUCACCCUGCCUCAUCUUCAUCUUGCCCCAUCCUCAUUCUCCCCCACCUUCAUCCUGCUCCAUCCUUACCCUGCUCCAUCCUCACCCUGCUCCAUCCUCAUCCCUCACCUCUUUGGCACAGAAAUCCUCAUUCCCACCUCCUUGUCUCCCUGAGUGCUGCUCAGACAACCCCACAGGUAUUUCUGACACCUUUCCCCUGCAUGGGGUGGAUUCCCUUUUCCUGCUUUUACAGAUGGGGGAUGUAGGCAGGGAGCAAAGGGCUGCCUCAAAGCCAUCCAUUGACCACCACUGGGGGAUGUAGGAAUUGACCCUGGGUCCCUGAAUCUCAGUUUUCUAUCCCAGCCAGGCUGCACUGCUGGGAGAUUUAUCACCUUAAACAAUUCCUUUUUUUUCCUAUUUCAAAUGGCUGGUCAGGGAAAACCAAAGGGGGAAAAUGGAAACUUUAAUUUCUGGAUGAAAAGUUACCAUUUUGUUUGUAUGAACCCCCUGACUCUGUUCUCCACUGAAUAUCUCCAAUCCACUAGAAGUGCUUGGGUGUUGAUUUUAGAAAGCUGAUGGGUGUUUUUGGAAAUAAUCCCUUUUAAGGGAAAGCUGUUUACCCAGAUAACCACCAUCCCUCUCCCUGCUGAAGCAGCAGCUGUUGUGGGAGACAGCUGAAAUGCAAACAGGCUCCUGCUCCAUCCAUCACCCAGGCACGGGCCAGGCAGAGCUACUUCACUUAAAGGACAACGCUUGCAUCAGAGGAGCCGGGCCACAAAUCAAUUCCCACUGGAAGGCAGGAGAAGCUUUGAACUGGAGCAGAGGUUUCCUGGAAUGAUCUUCUGGUGGGACGAGGGGACAAGAGCUGAAGCAGCAAUGCCAAGAAAACUCAGCCAAGCUCUGCCCAGCAUCUCCUGACACAGCACCACGGGCUCAACACCAAUUCCCAUCUCCCCAAAAUGCCUCGAUUUGGAUUUGAGGAGGCAGAAGCAGCAACUCCGCUGAACGCAAGAGGCAACCCAGGAAUUAAUGGAAAAAAAAAAAAGAGCAAUAUUGUUUCUCUUUGGAGCGUGUAACAGGUUGUCAUGGGGAAGGCGUGUGGGCUUUCCCGCGAAGGGAGCAGCGCUGCCGACCUUUGGAGAGCGUUUGCUCAGAGCCAGCCGCUGCUUCCAGCACAUCCCUGGGCUCUGGGAAUGCUCAGCCCAGUGCCCCCUCCUGCUGCAAACCCUCAUCUCCCUGCCUCGAACCCCUAACGUGCCAUCCUGUAAUGGAAUAUACCUCUGCAUGGCUUUAAAUUAAAUUGGAAAUCGAGGUUAGAUCUGAGGUAAGCAUUUUUUAUUGCCCAGAAAGGUGUUGGAUGCUCCAUCCUUGAAAUUUUUUUAUUGCCCAGAGAGAUGGCGAAUACUCCAUCCUUGAAAUUUUUUUAUUGCCCAGAGAGGUGGUGGAUGGUCCCUUCCUGAAAUUUUUUUAUUGCCCAGAGAGGUGGUGGAUGCUCCAUCCUUGAAAAUAUUCAAGGCCGAAAUCGAGAUUAGAUCUAAGGAAAGCAUUUUUUUUUUAUUGCCCAGACAGGCUGUGGAUGCUCCAUCCCUAAAAAUAUUCAAGGCCAUGUUGGAUAGGGCUCUAGCAACCUGGUCUUGGUGAAGAUGUCUCUGCUCAGUGCUGGAGGGUUGGCCUUGAGCACCUUUUUAGAUCCCUUCCAACCCAAACUGCUCUGUGCUUCUCAAGAGCUUGGCAUUGCACAAAAGUCAGGGAGUCCCUGGGAAGAUGUCUAAAAAGCAGCUGGAAUUAGCCCCAAAUCAAAUCUAUCACACAAUCCCCAAACCUGCCUGAGCUGGAGCACCACAGCCACACCUGAGUUACAGCACCUGUAGCUGUACCUGGAUAAACACAGCUGCUCAUGUUUCCCUCCCAGUUUUUGGCAGUGAUCCAUCCAAUAAUUUCAGGGAUUCAUCUAACUUUUUCCUUCCUAUUCCAGGAAAAGUGCAGGAGAUAAAGAUUUACACCCUGCCUCCAUCCAGAGCUUGGAGAUACCGAGGUGGGAUGUGAUGUUUAGACCUGGGACCACACCAAUUAACCACACCAAUUAGCAGCAGGUGACAACUGAGUGCAGGCAAACCACGAUGCCCAACAACCCCAAAAUCAGCUGGGGGAGGAGGACAUGGAACUGUCCUGUCCAGGGAACCCAGCCCAUUCCCAAUGCUGCCUGCUGGUCUCCAGAAAAGCAGAAAUUCCCCAAAUAUGGGGAAGCCAUAAGUGGAGCCAUCCCUGGGACAGGGGCACCUCAGGAGGGGACAGGGACUCUCCUGGAUGCUCCCAGCACGGGGCUGGGCUGGUUUUGCAGGCUGAGGCGGGAGGUCUGCCUGCAAUCACAUCUCCCACCCCUUUUGCAGGCUGCUGCGUCUGUGCUGUGUGCUGGAAGCAGCUUAAAGAGCUUUUGAUAGCAUUGCUGGGAGAAAAUGAACCUGUUAAUACUGCUAUUUGCUGCGCAAAGGAUGCACGCCCAGAACACUUUCUCGCAGCAAUGAUCAUUUUUAGCUGUGAGAAUGAAUUAGCCCUUCCACUGCAAAGCUAUUUGCAUCGCAGAGAGGUCAUGGAGGAGCAGCAAAGUGAUUAUUUGGGGGCUGGGCUUGCAUGUCUUCUCCAAGGCAAGGAGACCUUUCUAAGGCAAGAGUCGGCAUCUGAUCCCAACGGGACAGGAAUCCAGGACAGAUAUUCCCAAAUCCUGAUCUAGAAUCCAAAGCCAGCUCCUCCAGGCUUGCCAUGAUGAAAUGCAGAGCUUCCCUGGCUGGCUCUGCUUUUCCCCACCGAGUGGUAAACAAACUCUUCUCACUCCCACCAUUUAUUCCCUUCUCCACCUUCCCGUGUUCCCAAUUAUCUUAAGGAGAUUGAUAAACCCAGCACUGCUGCUCUGGUUACAGGUCACUUCCCCCUGCAGUGAGGAGUGCAGGAAUCAAUAGCCAGAAAUAGUGGCUGGGAAUCAAACUCCCUGAGCAGAACUGGGAGGGAGGAGGAGGAGGAGGAGGAGGAGGAAGAGGAGGAGGAGGAGGUUUCAUUCCUUGCCCUGGAGGAGCAGGAUAUGGAGCUGAGGGGAGAAAAGUGAUGCCAGCACUCAGCCACUCAUUUAUCUUUGGGACAGUGCUGGAGAAGCUCAAAGGGAAGGAGGAAUGUUGAGGACUCUGGGAGUGUUUUGGAGGCAGCUUCGCACCAGGAGUAGCUGCAGGCAGGAUUUUAACACUGCCUGUGCAGCCCACAGUGAGAGCUCCUGGUGAUUGAAAACCAGGCUGGCUGCAGCCAAGAAGGAACAGGUGGAAGGAGGACAAAAAGGAAUAAAUUUACUUUGUUUUUAAAGCAGGAAAGGGUCAGCCCUCAGACUGAGUCUGGGAUGGGCCACAGGUUCUGGAUGCAGAGAGAGGGAGGCUCUUUGCUCUCACAGGGUUUGGGGUGAUGGGGUUGGAGCACACCCAUGAGCAGCUCCCAUUGCUCAGCUGAGCAGCUCCAGCACGAGUGGGAACGGCUGCUGGGGAGGCUGAACAGGGGAAAUAACAGUGUUCGUUUUUAUUCCUGCUAGUAAACUAUAAUUAUAAACUAUAAUUUGGAUGUUUAACAAAUGCUGCAGGCUUUUGCAGGCUUGCAGAGUGCCAGGCUUGGCUGUAGCCAGGUAAGGGGUGGACUUUUGGGGAGAGGCACGUUGCUCAAACACUUGUACCCGUUCUGGAGCUGGGAUAAGGGUGUGAAAAUUUCCACAGGGGUAAGAUUUUUCUGAGUUUAAAAAUCUGUCUCAAACCAUCUCCAAAGUGUCUUUUCUUCCUGGUGGGAUGAGGUUAGAAAUGCUGUCUGACUCCACAUCUCAUGGCACUUCUCAAGGAGGGGUGGGAAAUGAAGGAAAUUCUCCUCACCGAGCUGCUGUCCUGUGCUUCCAGAGGACCUGAGAGCUGCAGGACCAUGAAAUGCCAAAUCUCCCUCAGCCUCUCUGCUCUGGAGAGGCUGGUGGACACUCCAAACAGAGGGCAGCUGCCAGGCUGGAGGAGAAAAUCGUCCAACCACUUCCCCACCACACAUCCCCAGCCACUGAGACUCCAGCUGGAGCAGGGCAGGGUUUCACCCGGGGAAGAAUAUUGGAGAAAAAGCCAAGGGAGAUUGGCAGCUUUUGCUUUUCAGAGAUUGCCUUUCCCUCCAACAUCUGCUCCCACACCUGCACCCAGACUGGACUGGGGCUGUGCUGAAGGGCUCCAGGAUUUCCUGCCCAUUGCUGGGGCUGGUGCUGCACUCCAGGGAUGCUCCGGCACCAGGCAAGGGGCAGGAGGGCUCCUCCACCCUGUGCCUGCUCACACACAGGGUUUACAGGACAUCCAACAGGAAUUUAUCCACCACUGCAACAAGAAUUUAUCCACCACAGCAACAGGAAUUUAUCCAUCACAGCAAAGAGAAUUUAUCCGUCACAGCAAAAUGCUCAGAAACACCACGAGCAAAGUGGGGAAAUGCACCCAAAGCACCUCCUGUGCCCCUUGCUCCACAUCAGCAGCUCCUGCCCUCUGGUCUGGACCCUCUAAAUGACUCAGUCUGCCCUUGCUGCUGACCCAGACCCCUUUUCUUCCCCCAAAAUCCCCCUGGCACUGCCUCCAUCUCCCUCCCACACUUGCUCUGCUUGUGGCUGUUUCUGUGGAGCCCCUCUGUGCUUCUCCAGCUCUCAGGGUAUAAAUAUGGUGUGAGAUAAAUAUUGUCAUGGCACAUUACCCUGGUCCUUCCUCACCCAUACACGCUGCAGACAGAGUUAUGCAUCUGUUUAUGUGUGUGUAUAUAUCUAAUUAUACUGUAUAAACUGUAUAUCCACCUCUCUAUUGUGUAUAUUUAAUAGAAACGCCAGCUAAUUGCCCUCAAUAAAUAUAUAUGGGGAUUAACUGUAUUGACAUUAAAUUUACUGGUAAUCUCCUCGAAAAUAAACACCCCAAAUAAAACAAACACAUAAAAUA